ACUGAACGUUGGCGGCAGGCCUAACACAUGCAAGUCGAGCGGAGCGGCGGACGGGCGAGUAAUGCCUAGGAAUCCGCCUGGUCGUUGGGGAUAACGUCCGGAAACGGGCGCUAAUACCGCAUACUAUCAGAUGAGCCUAGGUCGGAUUAGCUAGCUGGUGGGGUAAAGGCACACCAAGGCGACGAUCCGUAACUGGUCUGAGAGGAUGACCAGCCACAGUGGGACUGAUGCACGGGCCAGGCUCCUACGGGGGGCAGCAGUGGUGAAUAUUGCACAAUUGGCGCGAGCCUGAUGGAGCCAUGCCGCGUGUGUGAAGAAGGCCUUCGAGUUGUAAAGCACUUUCGGCGAGGAGGCGUUACCCGCAGAAGAGGCACCGGCUAACUCCGUGCCAGCAGCCGCGGUAAUUC
rnacentral:rRNA from 1 species